rnacentral:lncRNA from 10 species
CUGGGCGUGGGAAUAGAGCUCUUUGGUCUGCACUUCAGCCUUCAGCCUGCCCCCGCACUCUGGAGCAGAGAGAAGUGAGAUGUCCCCUCAGCACAAGACACCCUCGUGCCUCCCGCCUGCGUCUGCUCGGCUUUCUCUACAGAGCCUGGUGCGUGCCUGGCAGGAGAGGCCAGGUAGUCUCGUCACCCCAUUUGAUGGAGGAGUACACAGAGGCCCCUGGCUCCCAGGUCAGGGCUCCCUCGGGGGUGCAAAGUGGCCCUCACAAGCCAAGGUCCCCUGUUCCCAGCUUGAGAAUACGUGAGCAUGCCAUUGAAAAGAGUUGGCUGCUUUUUGUUUUUUCCGGUUAUGGAGACAUGGAGCCAAUGGACGGUUCGCCUCACUGGUCGCUGGGAUAUGGGUGGAUCUAUUUGCCACUUUAUUCCCUGGAAGUGUUGGAUGCAUCUGAGAAGGGCUCCCACUCGCCCCACCGACUGACUGCAAUUUGUCAUUUCUGCCGACAGAGGGCGAUAAAAGCACAUCGGAAUCGCGGCAGAUAAUGAAACUGAGACCUGGAAAUGUUGAGUAACUUCCAAGUUACAGAGCUGGGAAGUGGCAGAGCAGAGACUCAAAC